rnacentral:rRNA from 1 species
GACGAACCGUGCGAACGUUGUUCGGAAUUACUGGGCGUAAAGGGUUCGCAGGCGGCCAACUAAGUCAGACGUGAAAUCCCCAGGCUUAACCUGGGAACUGCGUCUGAUACUGGAUGGCUUGAAUUCGGGAGAGGGAUGCAGAAUUCCAGGUGUAGCGGUGAAAUGCGUAGAUAUCUGGAGGAAUACCGGUGGCGAAGGCGGCAUCCUGGACCGAGAUUGACGCUGAUGAGCGAAAGCUAGGGGAGCAAACAGG